rnacentral:rRNA from 1 species
ACACAUGCAAGUCGAGGGGUAGGGUAGCAAUACCUGAGACCGGCGCACGGGUGCGUAACGCGUAUGCAAUCUACCUUUUACAGUGGAAUAGCCCAGAGAAAUUUGGAUUAAUACUGCAUAGUAUAAUUGAAUGGCAUCAUUUAAUUAUUAAAGAUUUAUCGGUAAAAGAUGGGCAUGCGUCCCAUUAGCUAGUUGGUAAGGUAACGGCUUACCAAGGCAACGAUGGGUAGGGGUCCUGAGAGGGAGAUCCCCCACACUGGUACUGAGACACGGACCAGACUCCUACGGGAGGCAGCAGUGAGGAAUAUUGGACAAUGGGCGCAAGCCUGAUCCAGCCAUGCCGCGUGCAGGAUGACGGUCCUACGGAUUGUAAACUGCUUUUAUACGAGAAGAAACACUGCUACGUGUAGCAGCUUGACGGUAUCGUAAGAAUAAGGAUCGGCUAACUCCGUGCCAGCAGCCGCGGUAAUACGGAGGAUCCAAGCGUUAUCCGGAAUCAUUGGGUUUAAAGGGUCCGUAGGCGGUUUGAUAAGUCAGUGGUGAAAUCUUUCGGCUCAACCGAGAAAUGGCCAUUGAUACUGUCAGACUUGAAUUAUUAGGAAGUAACUAGAAUAUGUAGUGUAGCGGGUGAAAUGCUUAGAGAUUACAUGGAAUACCAAUUGCGAAGGCAGGUUACUACUAAUUGAUCGACGCUGAUGGACGAAAGCGUGGGUAGCGAACAGGAUUAGAUACCCUGGUAGUCCCACGCCGUAAACGAUGGAUACUAGCUGUUGGGCGCAAGUUCAGUGGCUAAGCGAAAGUGAUAAGUAUCCCACCUGGGGAGUACGUUCGCAAGAAUGAAACUCAANGAAUUGACGGGGCCCGCACAAGCGGUGGAG